UGGGGAAUUGUUCGCAAUGGGCGCAAGCCUGACGACGCAACGCCGCGUGGAGGAUGAAGACCUUCGGGUCGUAAACUCCUUUCGAUCGAGACGAAAGACUUCCGGGUGAACAAUCCGGAAGAGUGACGGUACCGAGAGAAGAAACCCCGGCUAACUCCGUGCCAGCAGCCGCGGUAAUACGGGGGGGGCAAGCGUUGUUCGGAAUUACUGGGCGUAAAGGGCUCGUAGGCGGCCAACUAAGUCAGACGUGAAAUCCCUCGGCUUAACCGGGGAACUGCGUCUGAUACUGGAUGGCUUGAGGUUGGGAGAGGGAUGCGGAAUUCCAGGUGUAGCGGUGAAAUGCGUAGAUAUCUGGAGGAACACCGGUGGCGAAGGCGGCAUCCUGGACCAAUUCUGACGCUGAGGAGCGAAAGCCAGGGGAGCAAACGGGAUUAGAUACCCCGGUAGUCCUGGCCCUAAACGAUGAAUGCUUGGUGUGGCGGGUAUCGAUCCCUGCCGUGCCGAAGCUAACGCAUUAAGCAUUCCGCCUGGGGAGUACGGUCGCAAGGCUG
rnacentral:rRNA from 1 species